UGCAAGUAGAAUUUACAUUCCACAUUACUCAGCGUUUAGCUCGAACGACGAAAUUGUGGUUAAAAUUUCCUUGAAUCAUAGAAGCUGGGUGACAGUUUCACCAGUACCUUCAACGCCAAACAUGGAGGGAACACGAAAAAGUGGUUCAAGGAAUGGCUUGCUUUGAAGUUAAUGACUUUAGCAGUCUUAGGGCAAUCGUAGUAACACGACCGAGAUGUCAGACUAUCAUAGUUGAUAUACCCGGUAUAUCUAUUCGUUCCACAAUGGACAAGAAAGUGAAUCUCUUUGUUCCGAGAAAUGCAUUUGGUUCCAGAACAGAACUGAAGUUAAUGGUGCAAUCUGUCUCUGAACAAGCACUCGCCUCGUUUGUAAACGACAACAAUGAUCUAAACAAUAUACUCGCUGUUAGUUCAAUUGUUACACUUAUCUGUGGAAAAGAGCCGGCAAAAGCCAUUCAAGUCGACCUGACCUCUUCACAGAGACAAAAUAGCGGGAAGAUUCAACGUGGAAAGACAUACCAACUAUAUACAAGUAAGGACAAGGUAUGGAAGUUUGCUGACGUCGAGUGUAAAGGACAUCAGGAUGAUAUUACAGUUGUACUUCCAGCAGGUCGAGAAAAAUAUACCAUAAUGGAGUUAGAUAUGCCGUCAAGUUUUCCGAGAGAAAGUGUGCCGAGCGUCGCAGAGGCCUUGCAAACUUGUAUAAAUAGAACAGUCGUUGUGAUGAUUGUGAAACAGCAUGCAGAUGAUUAUAACAGCUGUGUAGUUAGAGUUGUGAGGAGGGAGAUUUGUUUGGAUACUUUGAACUUUCUUGCAGAAAAUGGAUAUAGCGAAGGUCCUGACGCAAGCCCUCAAUUCAGUUUACAUGAAGGUCAGCAGCUAGAAUUUUAUUGUACAGGAAACAUUGAAAAUCGAGCUGAAAAAGAUCUAAAUAAAUAUACAUAUCUGUCUUAUAUGGGCGGCGUGGAGACUGACAUGACAUUACAUGUUAAGGACUCUUGGAAACAGAAAGAUCUUCCAGCAUAUGUGGGAACAAUUAGAUGCAGGAUUUUGAACAGAAGUGUGCAUUCCGAGACGCUAUGUAUGCAUGCAGCUGAACUGAAAAUAUCCCUUCCAAAGCAAAUGAGACAACGCGGAACAAUUCAAUGUAGCAAGAGUCAGAGUUCCUUUUUAUCUGAUCACGUUGGCAUCCUACCUGUCUCACACUUUGUGCAAGGAUGACAAGAGCAUUUGGGAGACAGUUUUAAAAUCCCUUCUUGGUAGUUCAGAAUUCAGUUCCGCAUGUAGAAACGCUAAGAGGAAGACAGCGGAAAGUGACGAAGAGUCUGUUUGCAGGACAGUGUUACUCGACUGGAUGAAAGCACAAGCCAUGCAUGUAGACAAGCUAGGUCCUAUCACAGUGGCCUUGAAAUACAAUGGGUAUGAAGGCAUAGCACAGGCAUGUAUAGACUUCGUGCGAUUUCAGAAAGAAAAUCUGUCGGACGCUGUACUCAUCGAGUUGGCACAAGGAAUAACAAAGGACGUACACACUUUAGGCAAAGAUCUUGAUUUGGACAAAAAGGAAAUCGAGAAAUGCAUCAAACAACAUCCAAACAACAUUAAAAGUCAAUAUAUAGCUGAGAUGAUGGAAUGGCGAGAGUCAGACCGUGCUAUAGAACAACAUGACAAUGCGCUAGAAUAUCUGAGGAAUAUGUGUGUCUAAGUAUAUAUUGCAAACAACAACACAAUAAUUUAUGUUUGCUACAGAACUGCUGUUUCAAUUAUAUACGUAUAAACUCAAGCUGAAACAAUAUCCUUCAGGAAAUCCUUCUUGUUCCGUCUUAUUAUGACUUUGAAUAUAACCUAUUUAGUUUAAUGAUUAGUGAGAUGUUUAUAGUCAUUUCGAAAUAAGUUGACGAAACUCCAGUCAGUCCUAACAUUAUCUAGUGAAGGUCGUAUAUCAGUUUUGUAUCUGUCUUGUUUGUAACUCAAUCAUUUUCUUUCAUUAUUUUAUGCGUACAAGUGUUCGUGGAAACAUAAUAAAUAGUGAAAAGGCGAGGCGAUACAACAUAAUGUCAUUUAGAAAAUAUUUUCUGUUAAAUUAUUUGUGAGAAGCAUUAAUUUGGUUAAUUGAAUUGAAUAAUUUAGUGACAAAAGGAAGAUAGAUCUCUUAUCAAAAUUAUUGACAAAAUUAUGUCAAGCAUGUUGUGUGACAGUCGUUUCGACAUAAUGCCCCAUCAUUAUCGAUAAACAGCUGUAUUAUUGACAAGUUCAUAUAUUUUAAUACUAACUCCCGCGGUUCAAACAUAAAAUAAUACGUUAUUAUUCA
rnacentral:misc_RNA from 1 species